UACGGGGGGAGCAAGCGUUGUUCGGAUUUACUGGGCGUAAAGGGCGCGUAGGCGGCGCAACAAGUCACUUGUGAAAUCUCCGGGCUUAACCCGGAGCGGUCAAGUGAUACUGUCGUGCUAGAGUGCGGAAGGGGCUACUGGAAUUCUCGGUGUAGCGGUGAAAUGCGUAGAUAGUCGAGAGGAACACCUGCGGCGAAGGCGGGUAGCUGGGCCGACACUGACGCUGAUGCGCGAAAGCCAGGGGAGCGAACGGG
rnacentral:rRNA from 1 species